rnacentral:lncRNA from 1 species
UACCUUUUCAUACCUUCCCUACUAUAAAAAAAUAACCUUAAAUAUGAAGUCCGCGAUAUUAAUUUCAAAAUGAUCCCUUACCAGUUUCAAAGUCCUCAAUGAAUUACUGGGCAGAACCAUCGGAAUAAGGAACAGAGGGAUAAUUCAUUCCCCUAAAAAUGUUCUUAAACAUGUUUUUAAUUAUUAAAGUUCAGGCUUGUACCUUUUCCGUUCAAUCUUUCAUUUUGUAAAAACUAUCCAUUCACCGUUCGUUUUUCCCUUCAAUGGUUCAUUUUCCCUUUCAAUGCUUCAUUUUUGAAUUAUUUAUUUAACAUUUAUCUGAUAUAAAAAAUACCUGUUAAUAUAUCAAGCCCUUGUUGUUUCUGAGCCUCAGAAGCAUAGCUUACUAAAAACAAAACUGGCAAUGCUACGGGUCCUGAUAUGUUAAGGGCUCCAAUAUAAUUCCUCAAAAUAGCCUAUUUUUGCUGGUCUUAUGAGAGGAAAAAAUUAAUUCCGAAUCACUUGUCUAUAUUUUUGACAAAACGGCCUGAAUGCACUGCUCCAAUAAGCCAAAUAUAAAAAAAGUCCUAAUCUAAUUUGGUGUAGAAAGGAUGGUUGAUUCGGAUUUGAGGACUUCAAGAACUUUUAAUGGACUAGAUUCCAAUAACAUUUUUUUGUCAUAUUUGGAAGCAUAUUUACUCGGAAUAUUUUCACUCAGAGUCGUAAGAUUUGAAUAAAGAUACCCUAACUUUUCCUAUUCCUUUAGAUCUAGAGCGACGAAUGUUUAUAUGAACCAAGGGACUCACUGUAGCUUGGGGUAAUAUCAGGCUAGAUUGCCAAAGGCCGUUAGUAUAUUUUAAGAUUACGUUAACUGUUGUUUGACACCAAUGUAUAUUUUAGCUAUUUUAUUAAUAUUUCAUCUUUACAAAUUGUCAUAUUGCGGUAUUUGUAAGUUGUAAUAAGAUGGUAAUUAAUUAUUAUUAUAAUUUAUACCAAUGAAUUCUUAGAUAAGGAAAGGGAUACUAUCGGAACCCUUCCAAACAAGUCUACCAAGUAGGAUCAAUUUUCACUUCACGGAGGAAAUUUGACUACAUUGUUUAAGUAUCAGUUCAUGCAAGUAAUGGGAAAACUUUAUGUCGCGCCUGGAUACCUUAGUGGCUACAGGCUAACUAAGUCGGAGAAGAAGGAUCCACCUCCGGCCAGAAGAAGUUUCCAUAUUUUUCCAAAGGAUAAGGAAUGAGGAAGUCUUCGGAUCAAAGCUCUCUCUCUUUUAACAAAUAUCCAUUAGGAGCCUUCAAAAUAUUCUGCUAUAUGUGACUCGCAUUUUUUAUCUUCCGACUAUAAAAUUCAAUCUGAUGAUACGAACUACUAUCGGGGUAAGGAUAUCUCUAUAAAAAUAUUAAACAAGGAUGCUACACUAACACAGUUUCCAAACAUGCCCUCCUAUUUUUCCAAGCUAGCCAAAAUAGUGAUGAGCAAAGGAUCUCUCUCUUCCAGUCGAAUCUUAAAAGAAAAUAUUAAUAAUAAAAUUCAUGCAUUUAAAAUGCCCGAUACUAUUUCUUCGAUAUCAGAACAAAAUUUAAAACUGGACAGAGCUCGCUUGCCCGAUAGGAUUUAUGAGAGCUUUAAAUUUUCUGUUUUACAUGGAUUUUUCAUCGGAUGUUGUGCCAAAGUUAAUUUAGACUUAUCAAUUAGAAUAUGGUAAGUAUGAAAUGUAAAUGGAUAAAUAAUCAAAUUUCCAUUUUUUAGGUACAGGUAUGUUAUGGAAAAGCUUUUCAAUGGCUUCAUACAGAGAGCUCUGCAAAAAAUCCCUAAGUUUGUUUUCAUUAGUCAACGAUCGCUGCACUUAGACAUUAUGGGGGAAGAAAUGCUAAUAAAGAUUGGCUUGUCACGGCGUACUUAUUAGAAGUAUUUGGGUGAUGGUAAAUACACGAUUCCCACGAAAUUGAAGCUACCAAGAGAAAUGAAUGGAAAAAACCAAUUACCAUGGACUGCUCUUAGCUUCAUUUUUUAAAAGACUUCUUAUGUUGGGCUGAUGAAUGGGAUUUACUCAGAAACAAAGUAACAAGCCUCACAAAUGAUAAGUUUUUAAUAGCUAAACAAACAUCAACUUGACUACAUAUGAUGUCUCAAAAAUUACAGGAUGAGGUAAAUUAUAAAAUUCAAGGGAACAAGAAAAGAAUUGGAUAUCAAUAUAAUAAAUCCAUGGAAUUCUAGAAUUCCAUGAAUAACUCAAAGGAGUUCAAAAAAACUUAACCGAAAGUAAGUAGGAAGCCUUUAUUAUCAGAAUAUCUUCAAUGUUUCAAAUAAUUUGUAUUUUUUGUUAAUUUUUAAACGCAAUAAAAAAAAAUUUGUUCUAAUAAAAAAUGUAUUUC